AAAAAGGGCGCGCCAUGCUUGUUUGUUUCUAUCCUUUUUAAACUUGUUCAAAGAGGGAAAAAAAGGAUGUGGAAUGAGCAAGAAGAAUAUGGCAGGAGUCAUUCUUUUUUUGAUAAGUUACUCUUGCGGUAUGGCAAUCAAGACAUAUCGAGCGCAUAAUUUUUUGCUUUUGGGCAGUUCACUCUUGGCUUCGCUUAAGCCGGAACUGCCUU
rnacentral:snRNA from 1 species